rnacentral:rRNA from 1 species
UGUGAGGCUAAAGAGUAGGCAAAUCCGCUCUUUGUUAGGCUAGGCUGUGAUGCGGAGGGAAAAUUACAGUACCGAAGAUCAUGUACUCAAGCUGCCAAGAAAAGCCUCUAGCCAGGGAGAAGGUGCCCGUACCGCAAACCGACACAGGUGGGCGAGAAGAGUAUUCUAAGGCGCGCGGAACAACUCUCGUUAAGGAACUCGGCAAAAUGACCCCGUAACUUCGGGAGAAGGGGUGCCUCGGUAGGGUGAAUAGCCCGAGGGGGCCGCAGUGAAAAGGCCCAAGCGACUGUUUAGCAAAAACACAGGUCUGUGCGAAGCCGUAAGGCGAAGUAUACGGGCUGACGCCUGCCCGGUGCUGGAAGGUUAAGAGGAGUGGUAAGCGGCAACGCGAAGCUAUGAAUUGAAGCCCCAGUAAACGGCGGCCGUAACUAUAACGGUCCUAAGGUAGCGAAAUUCCUUGUCAGGUAAAUUCUGACCCGCACGAAUGGCGUAACGACUUGGGCGCUGUCUCAACGAGAGAUCCGGUGAAAUUUUAAUACCUGUGAAGAUGCAGGUUACCCGCGACAAGACGGAAAGACCCCAUGGAGCUUUACUGUAACUUAAUAUUGAAUUUGGGUAUGAUCUGUACAGGAUAGGUGGGAACCUUAGAAGCAUGAGCGCCAGCUUGUGUGGAGGUGACGUUGGGAUACCACCCUGAUCCUACCUAGGUUCUAACCUAUGCCCCUGAAUCGGGGCAAGGGACCGUGUUAGGUGGACAGUUUGACUGGGGCGGUCGCCUCCUAAAGUGUAACGGAGGCGCCCCUAGGUUCCCUCAGAAUGGUUGGAAAUCAUUCGUAGAGUGCAAAGGCAUAAGGGAGCUUGACUGCGAGACCUACAAGUCGAGCAGGGACGAAAGUCGGGCUUAGUGAUCCCGUGGUUCCGAAUGGAAGGGCCAUCGCUCAACGGAUAAAAGCUACCCUGGGGAUAACAGGCUUAUCUCCCCCAAGAGUCCACAUCGACGGGGAGGUUUGGCACCUCGAUGUCGGCUCAUCGCAUCCUGGGGCUGAAGUAGGUCCCAAGGGUUGGGCUGUUCGCCCAUUAAAGCGGUACGCGAGCUGGGUUCAGAACGUCGUGAGACAGUUCGGUCCCUAUCUGUCGUGGGCGCAGGAAAUUUGAGAGGAGCUGUCCUUAGUACGAGAGGACCGGGAUGGACGUUCCGCUGGUGUACCAGUUGUUCCGCCAGGAGCAUCGCUGGGUAGCCAAGAACGGACGGGAUAAGCGCUGAAAGCAUCUAAGCGUGAAGCCCCCCUCAAGAUGAGAUUUCCCAGUAUGUAAGACCCCUUGUAGACCACGAGGUUGAUAGGUUUGAGGUGGAAGUGCAGCAAUGUAUGGAGCUGACAAAUACUAAUCGGUCGAGGGCUUACUC